ensembl:snRNA U6 U6 spliceosomal RNA
CUGCUCACUUCAGUAGCACAUAUACUAAAACUGGAAUGAUACACAGAAUUAGUAUGGCCCCUGCACAAGGAUGACACACAAAUUUGUGAAGCAUUCCAUAUUUCU